GCAGCAGGGUAAGAGAACACCACUGGUGCUGCUGCUGGCUUCCACUGCUGAGGUGGAUCCUACCAAUGAGUGUCUUAUAGUUCUCAGCAUGGAGGUCCUACGCCAACUUUAUUAAGUUGCACUGCUGAGGGGAGCAGCGGGCGGCAGGAGAGGUCUGUGCGCCAUGUGGGAUCCUCCUCCAGUGGCCGGGGAGCAGCCGGGGAUUGAACCGGUGCUGCAGAGGCUGCAGGCAGCUUCGCAACCCAGCGCUCAACCGCUGCACCACCGGGGAGGCCCCUGCCAGUGAGUUCAUGUGGAUGACAGCAAAGAAGAUGAAGGUGUAGGAGGUUAUGAUAAGACCCAGGGGAAUGAGGACCACCAGAAAACUUGAGACCACCACUGAUUUCACAUAGGUUGAAAUGUCAUCACAGGACACAUCCUCAUAUGACUAUGUGGUCACUUGUUGGGCUUAACUAAUAUUUAUGAAAUAGAGCCCACAUUCAACCUAACCAGCAUUUCCUAAACUUACCUGAUCAUCAGAAUCAAAGAAGAGUCCUGUAAAAAUGAAGAGUUUUGAACCACAACCUAAAUCUGCUGGCAUGGGACCUGGGAUAUUAACCAAGCCUCAGUUAAGUCUUAAGAUCUUAUGAUUAAAAAAUCUUCAGGGAACCACAGUGCUUCAAUGUCAUACAAUACAUACGUGGUUGCAAAUAAUAUAUCUGCAUAUUUAAUCCCAUUUCCUGAAUUGAAUCUUUCCAUUUUCUCAGUGCUUUCUUUUAGGCAUUUAUCUAUUUUCUUGAGAAUGCCAGGUCAAAAAGUCAGAUUUGGAGGAAGUACAGCCCUAUUGUAUUGUCUUGGAAUGAACAAUGGACAUGUUCUGGAAACUUUUGAUUAACUUGUUUAUGAAAUGCUAUUUGUGAAGGUGUCCUGAGACCCUCAUGAGACAUCUCCAUCUACUGUGUCCUCUCCUUCAGGGACCCAGAAGAAUGGAGAAUGAAUGGAAAUUCCAUACACUGUUUUGGCUGGGUCCAGUUCUUACCUCCUUAGCUUUGCCUGUGCUCAACUUCAAAGCAAUCCUGAUAACUCUGAUACACAGGAGGUAUCAAUAAACAUCACUACAUGGCAUUCCUUGAUGUCCAAAACAACUUGCUGACAGGGGGCAUGCCUGUCUUUCUUCUCUCCUCAUGUUGGCAGGGACAGAAAGAAAAAUCAAAUCAAGCCUAUCUCACCCAUAGUGACUUAGGAUUCAGCAUGACUUGCCAAACACUUUGUGUAAGAAAAGAACUAUUGCA